AAGAAUGUUUGGAACAAGCCUCUUUGUGCUCGGAGGAUCUCAAGGGGGACUUCAGAUCUCUUCACUCUAGAAAGAAACUUCAUGUCAGGCCGGCCCAUUGGAAAGAAGCUUUCUGCAGUUGCCGGUCCGGUGGGCGCAAACACGGAAGCAGAUGGCAACGGGCUGAGGAGUGGCAGCGAAAGGGGUACAGUGGAGGGUCCUGAAUGCUUUAAACCACACUAAGCAACACAAUCUGAUGACAUCAAUACAAGAGCUGUAUCAAAAAUCCGAUAUUAGGAGUCGUCGCCUCCCGGCUGUGAGCAGACUGGAAGAUGACCUACAUUAUUGUACUGUAGGCUCCAGAGACAUUCACCAUCUAACUCAGCAGCACGUCAUCGCACGGAAAAAAAAAAAAAAAAAAAGCCACUCAGGACGAGGGGAAGUCGGAAGGGGUGAGCCCAGCGCUGGCGGAGGCUCUGGAUUAGCGCACGGUGCUCCUGGAGGGCCCAGCAGCCUUUGAUAUGUGGCGCAACCUGCAAGUUAGCACGCACACAGACGCACUCAAGGGGAAUGUUAAAGUGUGAAAUGGAAUCCUCCAGAUGAAUCAUUGAUGACCCACCCCCACCCCCAAAAUCUGAUCCCCGUAGGCCAAAAUAAGCGAGCGCCACAAAUGUUGUGUUCUCAUUAAAGGCACCUCUGCUAAUGAAGAGGCUAAUUCCUCGCAGAUUGGUUUGAUGUGUUCCAUUCUAGGAUGGAUGGUUGCUAAUUUAGACUGCAUGCUGGCUGCAAGCAAAUGGGAAGGUCACCUGAAGCUAAAGACAGCCACACACUAGUGCCGUUUUCAAGAGCGCACUAUCCGAGACCAGAACUCACCGCGACCAAGACGAACGAGACCAUUACUUUUGGAAGUCGAAACGAUGACAAGACCAAGACCAUAAAAAUCCAAUUUAAAAACCAUGACAAGGUUGAACAUUUAAAGAGCCUUCUCUCUUUAAUUAAAAAGUUCUGUCCGUCAGUCACAACACCGCAAAGGCUGCAGUCAUUACGGGCGGGGGGGAAGUAACACAAGAUUUGAAGGUCUUUGUUGUUUUACCAAGUGCUUCUCUUUAUUAUCCCAUUAGUCGAAAAAAAGCAGGUCACCACGGAAAAUUCCCAAUCCGGCCAGUCUGAGACCGAGACGAGAUCAAAACUUUUGAGAGUCCAGUCCGAGACGAGACCAAGACCUUCAAAAUGUGGUCUCGAGGUUUACAACACUGAACUGGACAACACAAACUGGAAAAUCGUCAACAAAUGACAGUCGGUGACUGAUCCUCGCACACCUACUAACGAUCCCCGAAACAACUGCACUGUUCCGAAGCGCCACCAACGUGAAUUUAUUGGCCCACAAACGACAUUUGUGAGCGAUUGUCACGAGAAAAGCGGAUUGUCCUGACCGGUGCAGCUACUGUGGAGAAUACAAAGAGAGGAAAGGGCGAGGAGAAACAGCCAAACCAAAGACUGUUAUGUGUGCGGUGUGUUCUGUAGGUCAUCGACGACGACGCGCAUUUUGUUCCUCGUCAUGUGAGGUCCCUCACAUUUGAAAGCCCCGCACCAUCAAUUGGUCGCCAAGUGUUACUUUCUUGUGAGCACGGGAACGGAAUGCCAGCCGGGCGUUACACAGAAAAGCCAUAAAAGCUACGUUCUCAAACUGUAAAAGUCCAAACCACCAAAGUCAUGAGCUAUUUCCUCCCCUAUGCUUCAGUCCAGUCCAGUUUUAAGCGUUUAGUCUUCUGCAAUGUUAAAUGUUGAAGUAACAUUUUGAAGUUGAAGUUGAUUUAAAAAAAAAAAAAAAAACAUGUUUGGGGCCCUUGUAGGCCAUACUGCAGUUCUGUGACAGAUGCGUGACUGCCAGUCUGGCCCCCCACCCACCAGCGUCAACGGGGGCGGGGCUUGGCCAAGAGCGUCGGGAGGUGUGACAGAGCUCGCUCUCUGAUUGGCCAGUUGGGCUUGACGGCUAACGUCAGCGGCCAAUCAGAGCGGCGUACGAGCGAAGGCCGCCCAUCCUGCGCCUUCGUCCGUAAUGGGAACAUCUCGCGCUCUCCGAACGUGAUAUAAUGUGGCGUGCGAGGUCACGUCUGCAACACACACGCGCACGCAUAGACACAAUCGCCUCCCCAUCCCGCAGCAGCAAUGGAGGAGCUGCGCCCCAAAACGAAGCCUAAUUCCACCCAAUCACACCUACCCAGCCCCCGUUGUCCUGGAUCCAGCGGCCGAGGGGUCCGUUCAAGUACUCGGUCAUCCACUCGGCAAUGUUGUCCACCUGCGACGUCAUCUCCUCCUUCGCGGCGCACUCCACGCACACGUUACCGCCGAACUCGAAGAAGGCGAUGAUCCGGCCCCAGUUGACGCCGUCCCGGAACAGUUCGUCGAUCACCUCGGCGAAGCGCCGCUGAGCCGUGGAGGAGGAGAGGUAGAGCUGCCGCGACAUCUCGGUGAAGUCCGGCUGGUAAAGUCUCUCGAGUUCGUCGCCGGCCUCGCGCAGGACCCUGUGGAUGUCGGAACCGGUGCUUCUUCGCUUGGGGGCGCAGUCGCGGUCGGGCCCGGCGCUGACGACUUCGCGGCACCGGAGCACCGACGUCGACGAGGGGGCGAGCGGUACGCCGUUAUCGGCGGCGGCUGCGGCUGCGGCACCGCCGUCGCCGUUCUCCUCCCGAGCGGCACCGAACCCCCACUCGUAGCCGCGUUUGGAGAGUUUGUGGCUAAUGUAAUUCUCCACAAUGGUGCGAUUGCGCUCGUUCGCCAUCUGGGCUUAAUUUGGCACUUUCUACUUGCAGAUUCGGAUCUUAAACGCAACGCAUCGUGCAUCGGCUCUGCCAAAAGUGGACCGCGGCGAAACCGAACCGAGUCUACGCGAGCAGGAAACGAAAGGUUGCAAAAGUCCCCGCCAAACGCUGCGCGCUCGUCUUCGCGUAGAAAUCCAAUAAGCGGAAGAGGCUGGAGCGAGCGCGGAUGGAUUCCCAGACGUGAGGAGUUGCGCACGAAAAAAAAAUGGGGCCGCAAAGUUGUCUGCGCCAGAAUGGCCGCUGUGCGCCGCGUCGCCGACGCUUUACUUUAGGCGGCGAGUGAGCUUCUCUUGGGAGACCACUAGCAGGGUUCAGUACCCUCCUCCUCCUCCUCCGCCAGUGGGCGGCUCGAUGCGCGUCAGCUAUUCUUGACGUCACUUACGCAGAGCGCACCCUUUGGCUGCGCUCUGGAGCCUCCAAGCGUACAGUGGGAACUGCAGACAGAAUCAUUCAUUGCAUUCAAAUAGAUACUCCGAAGUCGUGCGUGUAAUAAAUGGCUGCACGUUCUUUCUUUCUUUAAUAAGGAUAAUCGGGACUCCUCCUGGGCAGCACGUCUGCCUCAUCGUUCUGAGGUUCUGGAUGCGAAUCUCUCUGGAGUUCGCGUGUUCUCCAGCUUCCUCCCACAUUGCAAAAACAUGCACGUUUGGUUCAUCGAAGACUCAAUUGUCGUCUCUGUGUGCCCUGCGAUUUGCUGGCCAACCGUCAAGGGGGUCCCCCGCUUCUCGCCUUGUAGUCAGUUGGGAUGGACUCCAGCGGACCCAAAGGAGGACAAGCGUGUUAGAAAUUGGAUGAAUAAGCACAGUGGUCUCGAGGUUAGCACAUGCCUCACAGUUCUGUAGCUCAGGGUUCAACUUUGCAUGUGGAUUUUUUUUUUUCCAGAUACUCCAGCUUCCUCCCACAUAAAAAAAAAAAAAACCAUGAAUGUCAGAUUCAUUUAAAAUCUAAAUUCUCCAUGUGUGUGAAUGUAAAUGCGUGUUCGUUUAUAUGUGCCCUGCAAUCGGGCCCUCUUGCCCAUCCAGCCGGGAUAGCCGCCAGCUCGUCAUCCUCAAUGAGGACGAGCGCUACAGAAAACGCAUCAAUGAUUGGUCCUCCAUUCAUCAGCUCGGAUCCAUCCCUGCGAGAGGACGUUGCAUUUCGGAGAAGUAGAGCCAGGCCUCGUGCCGCUCGAUUCAAUUCAGCUCACGUUUUCUCUUGAUAAUUAAUUAUCUGGGUUCGUUUUCAUGUAAUAUUAUUCUCCUUUGGGACAGAAAAAAAAAAAGAGAGUCUGGAAUAUCCCAUUUUAUGCAAAUGUGGAAAGCCCCUUCAAGGAAGAUUAACUU